rnacentral:rRNA from 1 species
AGAAAGAAGAGUUUGAUCCUGGCUCAGGAUGAACGCUAGCGGCAGGCCUCAUACAUGCAAGUCGAGGGGCAGCGGAACACUUCGGUGUUGCCGGCGACCGGCGAACGGGUGCGUAAUGCGCAUGCAAUCUACUUUACACUGGGGAAUAGCCUCCGGAAACGGGAAUUAAUACCCCAUAUAAUCUUACUAACGCAUGUUAGAAAGAUAAAAGCUCGGGCGGUGUAAAAUGAGCGUGUGUCCUAUUAGCUAGUUGGAGAGGUAAUGGCUCACCAAGGCUACGAUGGGUAGGGGUUCUUAGUGGAAGGUCCCCCACACUGGCACUGAGAUACGGGCCAGACUCCUACGGGAGGCAGCAGUAGGGAAUAUUGGUCAAUGGGCGCAAGCCUGAACCAGCCAUGCCGCGUGCAGGAUGAAAGCUCUAUGAGUUGUAAACUGCUUUUGUACAGGAGCAAAACAAUCCCUGCGGGGGUUCUUGAGAGUACUGUAAGAAUAAGCACCGGCUAAUUCCGUGCCAGCAGCCGCGGUAAUACGGAAGGUGCAAGCGUUAUCCGGUUUUAUUGGGUUUAAAGGGUGUGUAGGCGGUUUAUUAAGUCAGUUGUGAAAUCCUAGUGCUUAACGCUAGAACUGCAAUUGAUACUAUUAGACUUGAGUUAAGAAUAGGUAAGUAGAAUUUAUGGUGUAGUAGUGAAAUGCUUAGAUAUC